rnacentral:rRNA from 1 species
AUGGAGAUGGUGUGCAGGCUUCAAUACCAUAUAACUGGAAUUAACCCAUGCAAGUCGAAGAAGGAUUGGCCGGUGCUGCCAGCUGGCGUCAAGUUCGAUCCCAUGGAUCAGGAGCUGAUCGAGCACCUUGAGGCCAAAGUGAGUGCUGAGAGCGCGACAUCUCACCCUCUCAUCGAUUUGUUCAUACCAACCAUCAACAGCGAGCACGGCAUAUGCUACACCCAUCCUGAGAAACUUCCAGGUAUCACACUGAGUGGCCUAAGCAAGCAUUUCUUUCAGCGCAAUUCCAGGGCGUUCAAAAGGGGCACGUGGACACAUCGCAAGAUACAGUCGAAGUGCAGCAUGCACGCGAUGUGGCACAACACCAGCAAUACCUUGCCGGUGAUGGUCAACGGCCAGCAGACGGACAGAAAAAGGUUUUGGUGCUGCACACCAACAAGAACUUCGACCAGCAGAGGAACAACUAGGUCGAGCAAGUUUCAACUGGGCUGUAGACUGCCCAGGCUUGGUUUUGUUUUUAAGAGGCCCAGCCCAUGA